CACGUUCAACUCACUUCGGUGGGUCGCAAGUAAGUCGCGGAACGGAUUCGUUCAUCCAGGAAACUGGACGCAAACGACUGAAGGAACGGGUU
rnacentral:ncRNA from 1 species